GUAGGGGGCUAGCGUUGUCCGGAAUCAUUGGGCGUAAAGCGCGCGUAGGCGGCCAGAUAAGUCCGGUGUGAAAGUCAAAGGCUCAACCUUUGAAUGCCGCUGGAAACUGUCUGGCUUGAGUCCGGGAGGGGCGAGUGGAAUUCCUGGUGUAGCGGUGAAAUGCGCAGAUAUCAGGAGGAACACCAAUGGCGAAGGCAGCUCGCUGGAACGGUACUGACGCUGAGGCGCGAAAGCGUGGGGAGCGAACAGGAUUAGAUACCCUGGUAGUCCACGCCGUAAACGAUGGGCACUAGGUGUGGGAGGUGUCGACUCCUCCCGUGCCGUAGCUAACGCACUAAGUGCCCCGCCUGGGGAGUACGGCCGCAAGGCUAAA
rnacentral:rRNA from 1 species